AUGUCAACCAUGCAAGAUUCAACUUCUUCUGUUAAAGUCAAAUGGACUGCUUACAUGGAAAAGGCUGAAUCACACUAUCUUGAAGAUACUGCUGCUGUGGAAAAUGGGAAGAAAGAGAUGGAAGAGGUGCUACAGAAUUGUGUGCAAAAGGCUAAAUUGGGAGCUACACAAUGGACAAAUGCUCAACGGUCUUUAUUAGACCUAGAGGAGAGAAAUGUUGCAUUUGUCGAUGAAAUUGUCAGGGGUGGAAUGGAUGCAAAUCAAGCAUUACGUGUAAGAUUUUCAUCUGGAGUGUCAUCCACUCUCGAAGACACUGAUGCUGCUAGCAAACACCUACUCUCAUCUAUUGACCAUUCCUUACAACUAGACCGUGAUGCUUGUGCAAACCUUGAUUCUACAAUUGUUCCUUGUUGUGGAGAGCUGCGAGAACUGAACAGCGGACACUACCACAAGGUUGUUGAAAUUACAGAGUACACUGGAAAAAGUCUUUCACAAGAAUACAUGGUGGAUGAACCGUCUUGUUUGACCCCAACAAAGAGACCAUUUAAUCUUCCAAGCGUAGAGUCUAUUGAAGAACUAAAAACUCCUGCUUUCGAAGAGUUGUUGAAUUCAUUUUGGGAUGGCAAAUCCUCAAAGCUAUCAAAUGGAGAUGUAAAUCAUAGUUUAGAGAUAGAGGUAGAUCCUUCUUUACUAGAGUCAAGAGUUCCCCUCACUGCUGUAAAUUAGAAGAGUCCACCCCAAACUACAUUUACAUACAUCAUAAUAUAUGGCAAUUAAGGAGGAGACUGGAGAGUUGUACAUUAUGUGUCUUGAAUCUCCAUCUUCUCACCUAUACGUAGCAGAUAAUUUAUCCUUAUUCUUAUUUGAUUUGAGUGAUCGAAAUAUGUAAUGUUUGUGCUGAACAUGUUAGUUUCAAGUGUCUGUGGAU
rnacentral:misc_RNA from 1 species